rnacentral:rRNA from 1 species
GAUGAACGCUGGCGGCGUGCCCAAUACAUGCAAGUCGAGCGAACGGACGAGAAGCUUGCUUCUCUGAUGUUAGCGGCGGACGGGUGAGUAACACGUGGAUAACCUACCUAUAAGACUGGGAUAACUUCGGGAAACCGGAGCUAAUACCGGAUAAUAUUUUGAACCGCAUGGUUCAAAAGUGAAAGACGUCUUGCUGGCACUUAUAGAUGGAUCCGCGCUGCAUUAGCUAGUUGGUAAGGUAACGGCUUACCAAGGCAACGAUGCAUAGCCGACCUGAGAGGGUGAUCGGCCACACUGGAACUGAGACACGGUCCAGACUCCUACGGGAGGCAGCAGUAGGGAAUCUUCCGCAAUGGGCGAAAGCCUGACGGAGCAACGCCGCGUGAGUGAUGAAGGUCUUCGGAUCGUAAAACUCUGUUAUUAGGGAAGAACAUAUGUGUAAGUAACUGUGCACAUCUUGACGGUACCUAAUCAGAAAGCCACGGCUAACUACGUG